AGGCAUAAAAAGGUUGGUUAAGGAAGGUUAUCAUGUUAUUUUUGGAGAUGUAAACCUGAGGGUUUUUGGAAAAGCUUCAGAGCUCUGUCCACUUCUUAUUCUUCUCUAUCUUGGGAUAACUUGCGAGUUACUCCUAUCCUUCGUCUUGGCUUCUAAUCUCAUUCUUCUUCCCGCAAGUAUCCACCCCACAUGUAUCAUUCUUCUCAACGAUUGGAAAGCUCCUUUAGGUGUCUUUUAUUUGUGCUUAUGUUGUCAAAGUUUGUAAGGUGUUUGUGUCCAAGUUUGUAAUAGUAUUUCAUCUUAUAAAAAGUUUAUUUUUUUUGUUUAAUUUGUCUAGUUUUUGUGAGUUCAUGUAAGUUUCUAUUAUCUGGGAAAAUUAGUAUUUUGUAGCUUUGCAUCAAUUUGGUAUCAGAGCCAGGUUAGUAUAUCCCGGUUUGUCGUGUGUGUCUUGGUGUCAUGUAAGUUUUGUUUUUGAGUCAUGAGUCAUAGUCCAUGCAAUCAAUCUUCGGAAGCCCCAGGACAAGUUCAUAACAAACUCAAGCUUCAUCAGGAGAUGAGUUCUUUCAACUGGAGGAGAAUUGAUGUAGGCAAGCUUUGGGCUGUUUUUUGCCUCUUGGUUUGGACCAUGGCUGUUCUCGGAUUGGGCUUUGGCUGCUUGGUUUUGAGCUUAAAAAUUGGGUUCUACUUAAGUCUAGCUCAUUAAUUCUUGAGUUGAUGUUUAGCUCAUUAAUGUGAAAAGGGAAGGGUAGCUCAAGUUGAUUGGAGGUUUCUAAUUUAUGUUAAAAUUCUCAUCUGAGGUAGCCUUUUGUAGUAGAUUUUUAUUUUUGACAAUCAUACAAAUGUAUAUAUUUUAUUGAGAGAGAUUGCACUAAAAUUAUUAAAAGUUUUCUUUUA